ensembl:lncRNA
CAGUUAACUUAAGCUCUAGUUCAGUAAUGACAGAGCUCUCUAUAACCAAACUAAACUUAACUUAAGCUCUAGUUCAGUAAUGACAGAGCCCUUUAUAACCAAACUAAAGGAAACAGUCACAUGAAGUCAAAAAAUAACCAAACAAUCAUGAGCUCAGUUUGCCAGGAGUGAAGCCGUGGGCCCAGUUUCAGAACGAGAGGCUGCACAACGCCUCAGUAAAAUACAUGGAAGCUCAUGUCCCGUGUGUGUGUGUGUGUGUGUGUGCACGUGUGUGUGUGGGCUCAAUCCAGGGCAAGAGCUGCCUGUUUGUCGUCUUCAGAUUCCGGCUCAUUCUCUUCAUAAUCGUCCAGGUUGUCCGGGCCGCCCUCUUUCUCUGCAGAGACACACAGAACAGAUGUCACAUGCUGAGAGGGGGAUGAGUCGUGUUUAGGGGGCCUAUUAAACAGAGGAUGUCUGCCAGUUCACUUCAAAUGCAUUGUGGGUGUGUGUGCAACAGCCCGCGGCGCAUACCUGUGUUGUCCGCCUCCGUUUGGUCUGUGUACUCCACUGGACCGUCCCCAGGCAUCAGAGCAUCCUCUAUAGACACAGAGACAAGAUCCAGGUUGAGGCAUUUUCCAUUACGUAUGAGAGGGUAAUGAAAUGGCUAAAUGAUCACAUCUGCAGACCACCACACCACUAAGACACACGGUACACUAAAGCCAGAGACGCACCAAACCGACAUCAUAGAACUAGCGGCGACGAGUGCCCACUGUUCGAUCGCCUCACGUCACCCGUGUCUGCACCAAAACGUGGCACUUGAACACACCGCAGACUAGGGCGAUAUGGUAAAACGCGAUUUUCUAACCGCAACGUCCGCGAUUACAACGUGGUCUAAAAAUAUAUAUAUAUAUAUAUAUGAUAUUUUAAGAUGGUAAAUUUUGCACACAGUGUUUAAAAAGUGCAUGCCUUGUGUUUAUACUUACAAUGACCUUGUUUGAAUUACUUAAAUGCACAGUGGCAAAGCCACCGAUUUGUUGUUCUUGUUUCUGUAAUGAGCAGUUAAAGAAAAAUGUAAAAUGUGGGAAAUAACAUUUUACACUAAAUGUAUCUAAUAUUGUGUUGGUCAUAUUUAAAUCAUUCAUUACGUUUUGUUGGGGGAAAAAAAAGAGGAUAAAAUAAACAAAAUCGCAUAUUAAAUCGCAAUCGCAAUAUUGGGGAAAAUAAUCGCAAUUCGAUUAUUUUCCCAAAUCGUUCAGCCCUACCGCAGACUACAGUCAACGGUUAUUUCUAUCCAUGGAUACGCGGGAGCGCGACAGACUUUGAGCCUCGACAUUCCCAAACGGGAACACCAUGGACACUCUAAACUGCCACAGCACUCUCUUGGUUUGGAGAUUCUGGUUCUGUAUCAUGUUUAUUCUUGCAGAAUGUAGGCUACUUUUUAACAUGGACAUUACAUUGAAAACCAUGUCAAUUAUGAACAAAAUGUUUACAGACAGCAAAUGUAUUCGUCUGAGGGAUAUCAUUGAUUUCUACAAUAAUUCUUCAUCAUACUCGUUAAACACUCAAUCAGUCAAUCAGCUCCGCCAACUCAACAUGUUCAAUCGACCUAAAGGCCCCCGGCAGGAGCCUCACUGGUGCCAACGAUGCGGGACGCGCCGCGCCGCAAACCACCAGAGCCACAGACGAUCACCGAUGACCCGACAUUGGCCGACGGCCGCUU